GAUGAAGAACGUAGCGAAAUGCGAUAAGUAGUGUGAAUUGCAGAAUUCAGUGAAUCAUCGAAUCUUUGAACGCACAUUGCGCCCCUUGGUAUCCCGAGGGGCAUGCCUGUUCGAGCGUCAUUUCACCACUCAAGCCUGGCUUGGUGUUGGGCGACGUCCCCUUUGGGGACGCGCCUAGAAACGCUCGGCGGCGUGGCACCGGCUUUAAGCGUAGCAGAAUCUUUCGCUUUGGAAGUCGGGGCCCCGUCUGCCGGAAGACCUACUCGCAAGGUUGACCUCGGAUCAGGCAGGGAUACCCGCUGAACUUAAGCAUAUCAAUAAGCGGAGGA
rnacentral:misc_RNA from 1 species